GAGACGAAACAAGUGAUGUGGAGUAAAACUUAUAAAAGCGACCUCAGUUCGGAUUGAAGGCUGAAAUUCGCCUUCAUGAAGUCGGAAUUGCUAGUAAUGGCAGGUCAGCAUACUGCCGUGAAUACGUUCCCGGGCCUUGUACACACCGCCCGUCACACCAUGAGAGUUGGAGAUACCCGAAGCCUAUGAGCUAACUUUUAGGGGCAGUAGUCGAAGGUAGAAUCAAUGAUUGGGGUGAAGUCGUAACAAGGUAUC
rnacentral:rRNA from 1 species